rnacentral:rRNA from 1 species
GACAGAGGUCCCGAGCGUUAGGCGGAAUCACUGGGCUUAAAGCGUGUGUAGGCGGAGUUCUAAGUACCUUGUGAAAUCCCACGGCUCAACCGUGGAACUGCUUGGUAUACUGGUUCUCUUGAGCCACCUAGGGGCAACCGGAACAAACGGUGGAGCGGUGAAAUGCGUAGAUAUCGUUUGGAACGCCAAUGGUGAAAACAGGUUGCUGGGGGUGUGCUGACGCUGAGGCGCGAAAGCUAGGGGAGCAAACAGG